CAGUAGCCACGGUAAUACGUAGGGUGCAAGCGUUAAUCGGAAUUACUGGGCGUAAAGCGUGCGCAGGCGGUUUGUUAAGACAGAUGUGAAAUCCCCGGGCUCAACCUGGGAACUGCAUUUGUGACUGGCAAGCUAGAGUGUGGCAGAGGGGGGUGGAAUUCCGCGUGUAGCAGUGAAAUGCGUAGAUAUGCGGAGGAACACCGAUGGCGAAGGCAGCCCCCUGGGCCAACACUGACGCUCAUGCACGAAAGCGUGGGGAGCAAACAGGAUUAGAUACCCGCGUAGUCCCUGUCUCUUAUAC
rnacentral:rRNA from 1 species